GGCAAUAUAAUGCUACCACCAUAAGGUGAGGCUAUCACGCAACUAUAAUAGUUCUAAAUUCCUAUGAAAAAUAUAAUCAGUUAAAAUUUUUUGAACUCCUUACUUUCUAAAUAAGAAAUGGCUGAGAAUAUGAAAAAAAUGCCAAGGAAAACUCAGUGAGAGAAGACAUGGAAAGAAAUAGAAAAGGACAGCUUAGCCCAACAUGCAGAAAGAAAAAAAAAAGUUAAAAGAAAACAAAAACAAACCUUGGCACAGGAGAAUGAGGAUAGUGUAUUCAAAGUCAUCUUCUCUGCCCUGAAGAAAGCACUACUGGAUAAAUAUGACAAUGUUUCCUUAUUUUGUAAUCUUGGGUGAGGAACUCUUUUAAUUUGGGCCUAGAGUCUUAGGUUUUCAUUUGCAUUCCUCAGUGAUGUCUGUCGCCAAGUUACCUAUAGUACCACCUAUCAGGAAAUAAAACUCCUUAGCCCCACAUUCGUCUACGGGAAAUACAGCAGGAAUACAUGUUAUGAGGGAUUUGUUUUAUUUUUCCGGUCAGCAACAGUCAGUGCCUCCCUAGGAUAACCCCAUAUCUUCCUAUACUGCUACAAAACAUUUCUUAAUAUUUUUCAUGAUAAAGCUUAAUACAUGUGUUUGUUAGCUAAGUUAUAUAAUAUCAAGCAUGGAAAAGCAGGUGGGCCUGUUUCUUUUGUUACACUUCAACCUCAAUUCUAGGUAUAUUGUAGUUGUACUAAUCAGACUUAAUCUGCAAUACAAGUAAGUUAUUAUGGGGAAGGCAGCAUGUUUUACCAAAGAUCGUGGAUCGAUUUGUAUUUAUACAUAUUUCCUCUUCUCAUCUGAACCAUUAUUGGUUUACAUAUAUGAUUUUGGCCCUUUUUAGGAACUGUUGGCCGAUCCAUCAUCUCUUACGAUUGGGCUCUCUUGUUCUUCUGUUCAGCACUCUGAUUUUCCUUGGGGAAACCCUCCCCCACUUUUAGUUGAUGGUUUCUGGUGGUGCCGGUUCCACCCCUGGCUCUGCGUGGUGGACAUUUGACCCAGACCUGGUCAAAAAGAGUAUCAGCUGCUCCUGGUUAUACUAAUCGGUUCAAGGAUGGGCAAAUCAGAACAGUGAGACUCAACUGUGGGUCUUUGGGAUUACAGCAAAAAAGAAUCUUUUUUCCCCUGAACAAAAGCUAGAAGAAGGUAAACCUGAAGAUAUUUAUGGCCACUUACGGGAAAUCCUGUCUAAGAUGAAUGCUAACGCAGAGGAAAACCAAGCCAAGAUAUGGCAAGAAACUAAGGUCUGAUUGAAUUCUUUUAGCCCCUGAAGCAGACAUGUCUGAAAGUAUGAUUUGGCCUUCCACAGAUACACAUACAAAAGUAAGUAAAAAGGACCAUUUAAACAUCUUGGUGUAAUUCUUACAGAUUUUGAAAAAUUUUAAAUUCAUCCAUCACACCUGGCCCCCAUCAGACAUAAUUAGAAUCUCUGGCAGUAGGGCCUGGAAUCUGCAUUUUUAGUUAUUCCCUGAGUGUUUCAGGUGAUCAGCUAAUUUAAAGACCCAUUAUGAGUUAUUGACUAAAAAUUCUCACUCUUCUCGAACACCAUCAACAGGCCAUAUGGAGUUUACAUACUGCGCUAGAGGCUUCCUAGAGAGUAGACUAUAAAAUAGAUAAAGUAGGUUAAGGGCUACAAUUACUCUCCUUCUUAUUUAUUUAUUUAUUUAUUUAUUCAUUCAUUCAUUCUUUCAUUCAUUCGAGAUGGAGUCUCACUCUGUCACCCAGGCUGUAGUACAAUGGCACGAUCUCGGCUCACUGAAACCUCUGCCUCCUGGGUUCCAGCCAUUCUUCUGCCUCGGCUCCCAUGAGGAGCUAGGAUUACAGGCGUGUGCCACCACACAUGGCUACUUUUUUGUAUUUUUAGUAGAGACGGAGUUUCACCAUGUUGGCCAGGCUGGUCUCAAACU
rnacentral:lncRNA from 1 species